rnacentral:lncRNA from 1 species
CUUUUAGAGCGGGGAAGCUUCUAGUCUAAUAUUUAAUGACGACAUACAAUUACCUGACUGUUGUCCCUCAGUUUCGGGUAUUUGUAAACGUUCUAGAAUGCAGUCGUUAAACUGGAGCGCUUGUAUAUUUUGUUGCAACAAAACAUUUUAGAAAGAUAAAAAAUUACUCAAGUUUGAAUCCGAUGAGCGUAUUAAAAUGUUUUAUCCGUGUCAGAUAAAGUUAAAGUUGAAAUAGUUUCCCGUCCAUCUUUUAAACUUCAAUCACUCUGUCAUUUUGGUUGCAUUACAAAUUAUUUGCUAAAAACGUAAAAAAAAAAUUCAAACCCGUGCAAGCAGAUAUCUCAAAACACGAUACUGCUUUUAGUAAUUUUAUUUUGGCUAUUGACAAUGAUUUAAUGGUCAUUCUUCAUGACACCGUUACUCGAUAAAUAUAAAUCAUUUCUUCCGGC